rnacentral:rRNA from 1 species
UUAAAAGGCUGCAGUAAUUUGACUGUACAAAGGUAGCAUAAUCAUUAGUUUUUUAAUUAAAAGCUUGUAUGAAAGGUUGGACGAGGUAGAAUCUGUCUCUUUUUAAUAUAAUUAAAAUUUAAUUUUUAAGUUAAAAAGCUUAAAUUUUUAUAAAAGACGAGAAGACCCUAUAGAGUUUUAUAAUUUUUUAAAAGUAUUUAAUUAAGAUUUUUUUAUUUUAUUUUUAAAUAAUUAUUUUAUUGGGGUAAUAGAAAGAUUAAAUUAAUUCUUUUUUUAAAAAAAAUACAUUAAUUUAUGAUAAUAUGAUCCAUUAGUUAUGAUUUAAAG